UUAUACAUCCCUCCUACUAGACUAAUAGGUCUGAAAUCGUCAAGCCCCCCAAUAUUAGAACCCUUUGGAAUGAGAGUAAUGAAAGAAUGAUUAAUGCCAUGCUCCCAAUCUUUUUCCAAGAAAAUGUUAUUGAAAAAUUUCAGAAUAUCACCUUUUAAAGAGGGCCAAAAUUUCUUUUAAAAACCAUAUUCAACCCAUCUGGCCCAGGAGCUUUGUUGCUAUCACACAAGUUUAUGGUUUCCCAAAUCUCAUCUUCCGUAAACUCCUUUUCUAGCAUAAGACUCUGCUCCAUAGAAAUUCUUGAAAAAAUCAACUUAAUAUCCUCCACUUCCAAAGUUGAACUACAAUUGUAAGCUUUGAAAAAAUGCUCUCUAACAACAGACUUGAUAAGAACAGGAUCUUUGAUAAUUUCACCUUCAACAUUAAUAGCAUUCAAAGAAUUCAUCCUCCUCCUAAUUGUGGAACAUGUGUGAAAAAAUUUAGAAUUCCGGUCUCCAUCUUUAACCCACUUCUCUCUUGAAUUUUGGAACCAGAUUUGUUCCUCAAUUCUGUAUAGUCUCCAAAGCUCAUUUCUCAAAAACCUCAACUCCGCUGGACUGCCGUAGUCGAUUGGAAUUUAGUUUUGCUGAAACUUAUUUUCCAACUGGUGAAUUUUUUCUUCUAGAGCAGAACUAUCAUCACGUGGAAAAUGUUUCCUAUUCCCAGACCAGCUCUUAAUAGCGACCUUUGUAUUCUUAAGAAUACUCAAAAUACCAACUUUUUUCUUGUCCUUCCUGAACUUCUUUAUGGACUCUGUAAUCUUCUCCUCAAACCCUUCCUCAGACAUAAGAUAGCUAAACAACCUAAAAGGUCUCUUGCCCCAUUUGUCUACCCCACUCUCCAUAAUUAUUGCAUUAUGAUCAGAGAUAGAUUUAGGUAAUAACAAUUGAGUGAUACCAGAAAAUGUUGCAGAGAAACUAACAUUAACCAGAAACCUGUCGAGCCUGACAACAGUGAGAUAAUUCCGGUUGCUGCUCCAUGUAAAAUUCCCCCCAAUUAAAGGUAGAUCAAUUAGCCCCGUUUGCUGAAUAAAAAGACUGAAGAUUUCCAUAGAAUUCCUGUUCUGAGUACAACCCUCCUUCUCUUCUUCUAUUAAAUAGGCAUUGAAGGCCCCUCCCACACAAAAAGGAAUGUUGUACCCAUUUAAAAACAGACCCAAUUCUUCAAAAAACCCAGCCUUUUCUUCUUCCACAGAUGGACCAUAAACAUUUAAUGAAACCACAUCUAAGUUGAUUGGAUUUGAACUUCCCGAAAACAGCAAUAAACCUCCUGUGAACAUGCUGGUCUUCUUUCUCAAAAAAACUAUCAUCCCAACAACUUAAAAUACCCCCUGAAGAACCUGCUGCCGGUGACUCAACGACCCCUUGCAACUUAUUCAACCCACUUCUCCUUAAGAAAGAUCUUGGUAAAAUCUCAAGUUUUGUUUCUUGUAAAAAAAGAAACGUUGGUUUUUUCUCAGAAACUGUUUUUUGAACAGCUCUAUGUUUCUCUUUUUUGCCCAGCUCUCUAACAUUCCAAGACAACAUACAUAGCUUUGGCAUCAUAUUUCUAUUUGAUAAUACCAAAAACAAUCCUAGGAUUAACCCACGAACUCAGGAAGCCCCACUCAAGCCUUUCUCCAAAUCUAAUUAUUUUUUUGAAGAAAAGCAUUCUUCCCUUCCUUAAACGAUAUACCCAAAAUCCUGCUGAUCUCCCAUGUAGCCAUAGCUUCCUCCAACAACAAAGUAAAAGCUGAUGAGGACAAUGUAGAAACAACAGCAUGAUCUAAAGCAUCCCUAACGAGAGAUCUUUUAAAUCUCCUGUUGAAACUCCUCCCCCUUGAACCAUCACUGUCCCUUUCUGUAGAAUCAGCAGCCUCCGAAAAAUCAGAAUGAUAUCCUCUUGGAAUUAAAGCCCUAUCCAACUUAAUACUGCUCUCCCCUCCUGAUACAUCCACCCAUAUAUUCCUUUCCUUGGACCUACUAUAAACUCUCUUAUGACUUUUAAUUAACUUUCUUCCAACCGGGGCACUCUUCAUGGAUAAAGAGCUUGCAGAACGAGUAUGAGCCAACUCUUGUACUUAACAACUUUAAAUCUUCAUCAGACCCCAUUUCAACAUAAUUCCCUGGUGGAUCCUUAUUACCAAACACUAUUGACAUAAAACACUUACUAUCCUUAGCUUUGUCUACAUCCCCUGAUCUGCUUGAGGAGCUGUGAAUGUUUUUUUGACUUGCAUACCCGAGCCCAAAAAUAUUAACUGCUGGGCCAGCAUGAAUUAAUUUCUUAAUGGGAGAUAAGAGUGCACUGUUUCUCUCUGAUUGGGCCUGUGAGCUUUUUUCUUCCUCCUUAUUUCUAAUGCCCAGUCCAGCAAAAUCUCCCUUUUUAGUACUCCCUAAACUUGGAAAAACUGACACUCCUUCAUUAAUGCAUUUCCCUUCCAAGUUUUUUAUUGGAAACUGUAAUUCUCUACCUGCUACACCAAACCCGACAUACGCUCCCUGAUCAAUCCAAAUAUCAACUUUUUGAUGCGCUUCCUCAACAAGUCGAACUGGCCCUGACAUGUCAGAAAAUUGUGUGUUGUCAUCUUCCUCCUCUGCCGUGUGUUUAACUGCAUUUUUCAUUGGAAAAUUUUUCCGGCGGAUAACCAAGAAAAAACUCUGAAGCCUGUGAAGUAGAUCCCAACUUAGAAGUCAACUUGAAUGAUCUUCCAUAUGAUCCUAAAGUUAACACUUCCGGGACGUCAAACGGACUUGCCACCCUAAGCAAAAUUUUUACCGUCGUGAGAUCUUCCCUGGUUUUAUUCGAAUGGUGUAUACCCUCCAUUGAACCCCAUCUUCCUGCUAACUUCUCCAGAAAAUUCUCUUGCCAACAUAGUAGAGGAACACCAUACAAAUCAACCAGACAAUAAACCAUUGGCACUCCACCUGCAUUCAACAUAGGUGCCAGUCAGUCGAACCAGAACCAUAACUCCUCACUUUUACUCGACCAUGCCUCCUUCAUCAAUUCCUCAAAUUUGAAUGUAACAACACAGGCAUUCCAUAUAUACCCCCAGCUCGCAAUUUGAACUUCAAAACCUUCAUUUACCAAUGCUCUUUGAACCAAUUCCAGGUCGAAAUUAAGUUUAACAAUGCCCGUGAGAGAUCUUUUCACCAGUUUGAACUUUCAGUGGGAAUAUGCAUUUCCCAAAUAUUCUUCUUCCCCUUCCCCCUGUCAAAACUAUCAUCUCUAGUUCCCAUUUGCUCCGAAUGACACUUCUGCAUGCUACUCGACAACAAGACAUCUUUGUAUGAUCUAUCGUCUCUUGUACUUCUCAGAAUCUCGGCCUCAUCACGUGGUUUAAAUUUCCCCUCUGUGACCUUUCCUUGAGCAACAGUUAAUGACCGAGAUGUACCAGCAGCCCUUGGACUAUUUUUCUGGUAUUUUGCGACUCCAACAAAACUUUCCUCCCAUCUAUCCACAACCCAUUUAUGUUUUCAACUGCCUUCCUCAUUCCUGUCUCAUUACUAAACUGAACAAAGGCGAACGUGGAAGAUUUAUACUUGGGUUUGUUCAUCACAUUUGGUAUGAAGACUCGCACCACAUGACCCUGGUCAAGAAAAAUAUUCCUUAACACUCUUCUAGAUACUCUCUUGCUAAGGUUGUCAACGAAAACAGUCCAACUCUCGCCGGAGGAAGACUGACCUUUUCCACUUUCUCUCUCCUCUUUUCUGACUCUCACUCGUGAUUUUUUGGCUUACAAGCUGUAACCUUCCUGAUGUUGUUCUUCAGCCGUUCCAAUAUAUAUAUAUAUAUAUUUGAAAUGGAGCAUAUAUGCACUAUUUUCUGACCGUCUUUGGCUGACGUUGUUAUGAUUGGGAGGAUGGUUUAUGUGAAAGUGAUGCUGAUGGAUCUUUCUUACAUGAGAACUGGAACAAAGAUCUAAACUCUUUAUUGAUGGGGAAGAUGGGAGACACGGCUACUUCAGUUGUUUAUAUUGCGUGCAGAAGCCGAGUUGCAAGGUGAUGAUAUGGCACAUGCAGUAAUAGAUUCAUUAAAA